rnacentral:lncRNA from 1 species
GAGCUCUCCUGUGCAGAGUAGGGUUUGAACGGUGUCCCUGGCCACAACCCACUGGUUGCCAAUGGAACCCCCCAGUUUUGACAACCAAAAAUGUUUCCAGACAUGACAGAUGUCCCCUGGGGUAAGGUUGCAAGACAAAAUGCAGGUUUCCCAGAUACAUUUGAAUUUCAGUUAAGCGGCUCAUAACUUCUGUAGUCUAAUUAUGUCCGAAAGAUUGCAUUUUUAUUUGCUAAAUCCAGAAACCCUACACAACCACCUCAGCUGAGAGCCACUGCCCCACGAGUGCGUGAUGCCUGCAGGAGGCUAAGCCACCAGAUGGAAAAGGUGCGGCGGGAACACAGUGGCCUGGCCUGGUCGAGGCAGGGUGCUGUCUGGGGGCAGGCCCAGCAAUGGAAUCACCCAGAAGAUACAACGUAUCCAGUAGUUGUAGGACGCAGAGCAGGAACCCACUCUAGCCUCAGCCAAAACAAGGAAUUGGCUGAAGGAUGUUGGCUGGCUUGUGUAUUUUCCAGAAG